UACGAAGGGGGCUAGCGUUGCUCGGAAUUACUGGGCGUAAAGCGCACGUAGGCGGAUUGUUAAGUCGGGGGUGAAAUCCUGGAGCUCAACUCCAGAACUGCCUUCGAUACUGGCGAUCUCGAGUUCGGGAGAGGUGAGUGGAACUGCGAGUGUAGAGGUGAAAUUCGUAGAUAUUCGCAAGAACACCAGUGGCGAAGGCGGCUCACUGGCCCGAUACUGACGCUGAGGUGCGAAAGCGUGGGGAGCA
rnacentral:rRNA from 1 species